UAGAAGCAGCCACCAUUGAAAGAGUGCGUAAUAGCUCACUGGUCGAGUGACCCCGCGCCGAAAAUGUACCGGGGCUAAACAUAUUACCGAAACUGUGGAUGAACCUCUUUAGAGGUUCGUGGUAGGAGAGCGUUCUAAGGGCGGUGAAGUCAGACCGGAAGGACUGGUGGAGCGCUUAGAAGUGAGAAUGCCGGUAUGAGUAGCGAAAGAAGGGUGAGAAUCCCUUCCACCGAAUAUCUAAGGUUUCCUGAGGAAGGCUCGUCCGCUCAGGGUUAGUCGGGACCUAAGCCGAGGCCGAUAGGCGUAGGCGAUGGACAACAGGUAGAGAUUCCUGUACCAGUGCUAAUUGUUUAACCGAUGGGGUGACACAGAAGGAUAGGGAAUCGCACGAAUGGAAAUGUGCGUCCAAGCAGUGAGUGUGA
rnacentral:rRNA from 1 species